rfam:Brassica rapa chromosome A2, whole genome shotgun sequence.
GGAAAAUAAAAAACCGUCUCUUAACUUUUAACUAAAAAAACUAAGAACUGCCUCUUAAAUAAGAUAUUUAAAAGCUGGUUCUUAUCUUUUCUAGUUAAGUUAAGAGACAGAUUCUUAUAUUCU